UAUACUGCACCUCCGAAUGCGGACAAGAAAAAAAAGCAUUUGUCGCAUGUAUCCCAACAAAUAUACAAAGUUUCACGUACAAAGUGCACGUGUUGUUUAUGUUUGGCCCGAAGGAUAUACCACGUCUCUAACACGACGUUGUAGGUUAAAAGCUUAAUGAUACAAUAAGGUUAAUUGAAAAUACUUAUAAACUGUAAACAACAAUGUGAUAUUGUAAAUAGUUAUAAUGUGGAAUAUACUUACGAAGACAAACUCAAGGAAAACAACUCAACAGCUUUCACUAAGCUAUGUUUUGUUACAAGUUGAGAUAUUUUGCAAAUUUUUAACCACAAUUUCUAUGGAUUAAAUUAAUGGAAGUCAUAUUCACAAGACACAAGUAUUCCAAGAUCUGGUUAAUGACUAAAUGUACAAAUGAAGGUGCAACAUCCCAUUGGAAGAUAAAGUACAUUAUUGGCAAACAGAUACAGGUACACAAUUUUCAAAGUUUUCAAAGAAGGCACAACAGCUAACUGGUUAAUCAGCAAUUGUAUACUCCAAUAAAUGUACUGUGGCACGCAAUAUGAUUUUUCUCAAAUAUUAAGUUUUCUGAAUGUGAGGUUGGUGGUAGCCAAAACUUUCAUCAUUGAACUCCUCUACUUACAAGUUUUCUAACAAUAUAUCAUGCAUUCUAUGGACAUUAAAGUACUGAAUACUACAGUAUUUCAAAUUUAUUUACUAUGCAGAAAAAACAAUAUUACAUUUAUGUUUCCUUUAUAAAUGUUAUAUUUAUGAUUGUAUAUAUAAAAUGCUAUUUAUCAUAAGAAUAAGGUAAGAAGAGAAGAAACAUUUAUGUCAAAAUAGAAUAAAAACUAGAAUAGAAUAAAAAAUAGAAUAAAAAAAUAUUGAAAAACAGACAUUAUAUGUAUACAGAAGAAUUGAAUCCUGAAUCUUAGCAUAGGACUUUAACGGAUUACCAUCAUACUAUCGCAUUGUUUGUUAAAUACCACAGUUGAAUCACAUUUUAGCGUAGUAAUAAAAUUUCAAUCACUAAUGUUUCAAAAAAUAUUGGAUCUUUGCCCUUAUAAUGGAAUACUUUUGCAGAGUGAGGAUCUUCCCAUAUGCAGAAUUUUAACUAAAUCAGUAAUACAAAUGUCUUGCAGUUCCCUUGUUAUUUGUUAAUUAUGAAUUUACAUAUAUAUGAAUCGAUAUAAUUAUUUUUUUCUUUUCAUUGUGUUAAAUAGUUACAUUAACUAAGUCAUACUAGAGUAACUUAACACAUUAGCACCAUGACUCACAUAUAUGUCAUUUGGAUUCCUCUGCUAGAACCUGAAUGAUAUAUAUAGAUGAGUUUCUAAAUGCUCUGAUGCCAAUGUGUUAAAGGAUUAUAAGUUCUUUGAAAUACAAUUGGGGAGAGAGACAUUACAAUUCUCACAAUCAUAAAUCAUAAAACAUUAAAUAAUUUCAGUUCACUAAUACAUAUAAAUUCCUAAAAGUAUAAUACAUUGAUUAAUAAAUAAACAAUCCUGAUAUUGUCUUGGCAAUAUAAUAACAAAUAUGAUAUAUUCAUUGCUACUUCUUUAACUGUUAUUUUAUAUAUGAUU